rnacentral:rRNA from 1 species
GGGUUGUGAGGUUAAGCGACUAAGCGUACACGGUGGAUGCCCUGGCAGUCAGAGGCGAUGAAGGACGUGCUAAUCUGCGAUAAGCGUCGGUAAGGUGAUAUGAACCGUUAUAACCGGCGAUUUCCGAAUGGGGAAACCCAGUGUGUUUCGACACACUAUCAUUAACUGAAUCCAUAGGUUAAUGAGGCGAACCGGGGGAACUGAAACAUCUAAGUACCCCGAGGAAAAGAAAUCAACCGAGAUUCCCCCAGUAGCGGCGAGCGAACGGGGAGCAGCCCAGAGCCUGAAUCAGUGUGUGUGUUAGUGGAAGCGUCUGGAAAGGCGCGCGAUACAGGGUGACAGCCCCGUACACAAAAAUGCACAUAUUGUGAGCUCGAUGAGUAGGGCGGGACACGUGGUAUCCUGUCUGAAUAUGGGGGGACCAUCCUCCAAGGCUAAAUACUCCUGACUGACCGAUAGUGAACCAGUACCGUGAGGGAAAGGCGAAAAGAACCCCGGCGAGGGGAGUGAAAAAGAACCUGAAACCGUGUACGUACAAGCAGUGGGAGCCUCUUUUAUGGGGUGACUGCGUACCUUUUGUAUAAUGGGUCAGCGACUUAUAUUCUGUAGCAAGGUUAACCGAAUAGGGGAGCCGAAGGGAAACCGAGUCUUAACUGGGCGUUAAGUUGCAGGGUAUAGACCCGAAACCCGGUGAUCUAGCCAUGGGCAGGUUGAAGGUUGGGUAACACUAACUGGAGGACCGAACCGACUAAUGUUGAAAAAUUAGCGGAUGACUUGUGGCUGGGGGUGAAAGGCCAAUCAAACCGGGAGAUAGCUGGUUCUCCCCGAAAGCUAUUUAGGUAGCGCCUCGUGAAUUCAUCUCCGGGGGUAGAGCACUGUUUCGGCAAGGGGGUCAUCCCGACUUACCAACCCGAUGCAAACUGCGAAUACCGGAGAAUGUUAUCACGGGAGACACACGGCGGGUGCUAACGUCCGUCGUGAAGAGGGAAACAACCCAGACCGCCAGCUAAGGUCCCAAAGUCAUGGUUAAGUGGGAAACGAUGUGGGAAGGCCCAGACAGCCAGGAUGUUGGCUUAGAAGCAGCCAUCAUUUAAAGAAAGCGUAAUAGCUCACUGGUCGAGUCGGCCUGCGCGGAAGAUGUAACGGGGCUAAACCAUGCACCGAAGCUGCGGCAGCGACACUGUGUGUUGUUGGGUAGGGGAGCGUUCUGUAAGCCUGUGAAGGUAUGCUGUGAGGCAUGCUGGAGGUAUCAGAAGUGCGAAUGCUGACAUAAGUAACGAUAAAGCGGGUGAAAAGCCCGCUCGCCGGAAGACCAAGGGUUCCUGUCCAACGUUAAUCGGGGCAGGGUGAGUCGACCCCUAAGGCGAGGCCGAAAGGCGUAGUCGAUGGGAAACAGGUUAAUAUUCCUGUACUUGGUGUUACUGCGAAGGGGGGACGGAGAAGGCUAUGUUGGCCGGGCGACGGUUGUCCCGGUUUAAGCGUGUAGGCUGGUUUUCCAGGCAAAUCCGGAAAAUCAAGGCUGAGGCGUGAUGACGAGGCACUACGGUGCUGAAGCAACAAAUGCCCUGCUUCCAGGAAAAGCCUCUAAGCAUCAGGUAACAUCAAAUCGUACCCCAAACCGACACAGGUGGUCAGGUAGAGAAUACCAAGGCGCUUGAGAGAACUCGGGUGAAGGAACUAGGCAAAAUGGUGCCGUAACUUCGGGAGAAGGCACGCUGAUAUGUAGGUGAAGCGACUUGCUCGUGGAGCUGAAAUCAGUCGAAGAUACCAGCUGGCUGCAACUGUUUAUUAAAAACACAGCACUGUGCAAACACGAAAGUGGACGUAUACGGUGUGACGCCUGCCCGGUGCCGGAAGGUUAAUUGAUGGGGUCAGCGCAAGCGAAGCUCUUGAUCGAAGCCCCGGUAAACGGCGGCCGUAACUAUAACGGUCCUAAGGUAGCGAAAUUCCUUGUCGGGUAAGUUCCGACCUGCACGAAUGGCGUAAUGAUGGCCAGGCUGUCUCCACCCGAGACUCAGUGAAAUUGAACUCGCUGUGAAGAUGCAGUGUACCCGCGGCAAGACGGAAAGACCCCGUGAACCUUUACUAUAGCUUGACACUGAACAUUGAGCCUUGAUGUGUAGGAUAGGUGGGAGGCUUUGAAGUGUGGACGCCAGUCUGCAUGGAGCCGACCUUGAAAUACCACCCUUUAAUGUUUGAUGUUCUAACGUUGACCCGUGAUCCGGGUUGCGGACAGUGUCUGGUGGGUAGUUUGACUGGGGCGGUCUCCUCCUAAAGAGUAACGGAGGAGCACGAAGGUUGGCUAAUCCUGGUCGGACAUCAGGAGGUUAGUGCAAUGGCAUAAGCCAGCUUGACUGCGAGCGUGACGGCGCGAGCAGGUGCGAAAGCAGGUCAUAGUGAUCCGGUGGUUCUGAAUGGAAGGGCCAUCGCUCAACGGAUAAAAGGUACUCCGGGGAUAACAGGCUGAUACCGCCCAAGAGUUCAUAUCGACGGCGGUGUUUGGCACCUCGAUGUCGGCUCAUCACAUCCUGGGGCUGAAGUAGGUCCCAAGGGUAUGGCUGUUCGCCAUUUAAAGUGGUACGCGAGCUGGGUUUAGAACGUCGUGAGACAGUUCGGUCCCUAUCUGCCGUGGGCGCUGGAGAACUGAGGGGGGCUGCUCCUAGUACGAGAGGACCGGAGUGGACGCAUCACUGGUGUUCGGGUUGUCAUGCCAAUGGCACUGCCCGGUAGCUAAAUGCGGAAGAGAUAAGUGCUGAAAGCAUCUAAGCACGAAACUUGCCCCGAGAUGAGUUCUCCCUGACCCUUUAAGGGUCCUGAAGGAACGUUGAAGACGACGACGUUGAUAGGCCGGGUGUGUAAGCGCAGCGAUGCGUUGAGCUAACCGGUACUAAUGAACCGUGAGGCUUAACCUUACAACGCCGAAGGUGUUU